rnacentral:rRNA from 1 species
UACGUAGGGGGCGAGCGUUGUCCGGAAUUACUGGGUGUAAAGGGCUCGUAGGCGGGUGAGUAAGUUAACGACGAAAAACCACGGCUCAACCUUGGAUUGAUCGUUAAUACUGCUCGCCUUGAGGACAGGAGAGGAGAGUGGAAUUCCUGGUGUAGCGGUGAAAUGCGUAGAUAUCAGGAGGAACACCAGUGGCGAAGGCGGCUCUCUGGCCUGUUUCUGACGCUGAGGAGCGAAAGCCAGGGGAG